CCUCGCUGCGAGGACAAGCGGCCCCCGUCUGAUUUAUACAAACACCUUAAUUCAGCCUCUUGAUUCCCGUCUCUUAUCUCAGAUUGAUACAGAUCCUAGUCAAUCAGGUGUAGCGACGUCAGGGGUAUAAGGAGGGUUCGUCUAGAAUUGUUGGAAGUUGGAAGAAGUAAACCGUAUGUGGCAGGGUGCUUAACAUUCCCAGAACAACCGUCCGAAGGGUCUUCCAUCG